rnacentral:rRNA from 1 species
UCCUACGGGGGGCAGCAGUAGGGAAUCUUCCACAAUGGACGAAAGUCUGAUGGAGCAACGCCGCGUGAGUGAAGAAGGGUUUCUGCUCGUAAAGCUCUGUUGGUAGUGAAGAAAGGUAGAGGUAGUAACUGGCCUUUAUUUGACGGUAAUUACUUAGAAAGUCACGGCUAACUACGUGCCAGCAGCCGCGGUAAUACGUAGGGGGCAAGCGUUGUCCGGAUUUAUUUGGCGUAAAGCGC